UACGUAGGGUGCGAGCGUUAAUCGGAAUUACUGGGCGUAAAGCGUGCGCAGGCGGUUUGUUAAGACAGAUGUGAAAUCCCCGGGCUUAACCUGGGAACUGCAUUUGUGACUGGCAAGCUAGAGUAUGGCAGAGGGGGGGUAGAAUUCCACGUGUAGCAGUGAAAUGCGUAGAGAUGUGGAGGAAUACCGAUGGCGAAGGCAGCCCCCUGGGCCAAUACUGACGCUCAUGCACGAAAGGCGUGGGGAGCAAACAGG
rnacentral:rRNA from 1 species